GAAAGGAGAGAAGGGCGCAUGAAGGAUGCCUAGGCUCUCGGAGGCGAAGAAGGACGUGACAAGCUGCGAUAAGCCGCGGUGAGGGGCAAAUACCCGCACAGCCGCGGAUUUCCGAAUGGGGCAACCCGCCGGGCGUGAGCCCGGCAUCCAUCGAAGAUGGAGGCGAACCCGGGGAACUGAAACAUCUAAGUACCCGGAGGAAGAGAAAACAAACCAGUGAUUGCGCAAGUAGCGGCGAGCGAACGCGCAGGAGCCCAAACCGCGGAGGUCGUAAGGCCUCGCGCGGGGUUGUAGGACCGUCGCCGGUGCGUACGGCAGAGGUUAGCCGAAGCGGCUGGAAAGCCGCGCCACAGAGGGUGAAAGCCCCGUAGGCGAAAACCUGCUGCCGACGCCAGACGGCACCUGAGUAAGCCGGGACACGAGAAAUCCUGGCCGAAUCCGCGGGGACCAUCCCGUAAGGCUAAACACUACCGAGAGACCGAUAGCGAACCAGUACCGUGAGGGAAAGGUGAAAAGAACCUCGAACAGAGGAGUGAAACAGACCCUGAAAUCAUGCGCCUACAAGCGGUCGGAGCCACUUCGUGUGGUGACGGCGUGCCUUUUGCAUAAUGAUCCUACGAGUUGCCGUCGCCGGCGAGGCUAAGCUCCAGAAGGAGCGGAGCCGGAGCGAAAGCGAGUCAGAACAUGGCGAGAAUAGUCGGCGGGGGCAGACGCGAAACCAGCGUGAUCUACCCUUGGGCAGGCUGAAGGUGGGGUAACACCCGCUGGAGGGCCGCACCGGUAAGCGUUGAAAAGCUUUCGGAUGACCUGAGGGUAGGAGUGAAAGGCCAAUCAAACCUGGAGAUAGCUCGUACUCCCCGAAAUGCAUUUAGGUGCAGCCUCGGGACUAUGCCGCGGAGGUAGAGCGACUGAUAGGAUGCGAGGGCUUCACCGCCUGUCAAGUCCUGACAAACUCCGAAUGCCGCGGCACGAAUCCCGGGAGUGAGGGCGUGGGUGCUAAGGUCCACGUCCGAGAGAGGAACAACUCAGACCACCGGCCAAGGCCCCCAAAUACGGGCCGAGUUGAAGCCAAUAACGAGGUGGGAUUGCAUUGACAGCUAGGAUGUUGGCUUGGAAGCAGCCAUUCAUUUGAAGAGUGCGUAACAGCUCACUAGUCGAGUGAUCCCGCAUGGAUAAUACACGGGCAUAAGUCCGUUGCCGAAGCCGUGGGAUGCCACAUAAGUGGCAUCGGUAGGGGAGCAUUCCGCGGGCCGCAGAAGGUGGGGCGUGAGCCCUGCUGGAGGCAGCGGAAAAGCAAAUGUAGGAAUAAGUAACGACAAAGGGGGCGGGAAACCCCCUCGCCGUAAGACCAAGGGUUCCUGAUCAACGCUAAUCGGAUCAGGGUAAGCCGGGGCCUAAGUGGCAGCCGCGAGGCGAACACGAUGGACAAACGGUAAAGAUUCCGUUGCCCCUGCGGUCAAGUGAUGUGGAGACGGAGCAGUGACACACCCGCGCGCUGACGGAAUAGCGCGUUGAACCGUGUAGCUAAACGCCGGGGAGGCAAAUCCCCCCGGAGUGGCGAGGCGGGACAGUACGGCGAGCCCCCGGGCAAGCCGACAGCGGUGGUAACCAUACUCCCGAGAAAAUCCGCUAAGCGUUAUAAAGACCGCAGGGCCCGUACCGCAAACCGACACAGGUGGUCGGGUAGAAUAUACCAAGGCGCUCGAGAGAUUCACGGUUAAGGAACUAGGCAAAUUGACCCCGUAACUUCGGGAUAAGGGGUCCCCACUUUAUGGUGGGGCGCAGAGAAUAGGUCCAGGCAACUGUUUAACAAAAACACAGGGCUGUGCAAAGUUGAAAGAUGAAGCAUACAGCCUGACACCUGCCCGGUGCCGGAAGGUUAAGAGGAGGCGUCAUCGCAAGAGAAGCGCUGAAUUGAAGCCCCGGUAAACGGCGGCCGUAACUAUAACGGUCCUAAGGUAGCGAAAUUCCUUGUCGGGUAAGUUCC
rnacentral:rRNA from 1 species